CAUUGCAACCCUCAAAUCAGUUUUAUCACUGGAUUGACGUUGGGCAUUGCCGGCAGGCACGCCUGAAAUCAGCGACGGUCUUCAACCGAACUCAAGCGUCCAGGCACAGUCAUUCGCUUUUGCAGGGAGUUUGGGGCCUGUCAACCGAUGAAUUUCUAGAUGUUGACCUCGGAUCAGGUAGGGAUACCCGCUGAACUUAA
rnacentral:misc_RNA from 1 species